rnacentral:lncRNA from 10 species
GGGGAUAUAAAAAUAAUGCAUUGUAUGCCGGAAGGGAUAAAUCUGGGGCUGAGUACAAGCAAAACAAGACCAAAGGAAGCUACCUGAGCAGGUAUUCCAGAUACUCAUGUCAUACACCAAGGUUGUACCAGUGCCCCUUUCUCUGUGACACAUCCAUCCACUGGAAACUUUCGUACAACUAGCUGAAAGAAGAGAAACAUCCUAUUUCAUGCUGGAGGGAGGAUGGCAUUUCAAGAGGUGGCAAGUGGUCCUUCUUCACAGUCAUAUCUCUCAUUCUGCAAGCCAAAGACUCAAUCUGCAUAAUAUUCCAUGGUG